rnacentral:lncRNA from 1 species
CUUGUCAGCAAUAACCCCCUUUUAGUCUGAAGGCCUUUGAGAGAGCCACUUUCUGCUGUUGUCUCAUCUCAGUGGUUUUCACACCAGGGACAAGCAUUUUCCCUUGGUAGUCUUAGGAGCAGCUGAUUCAGUGUGCUCUAAUUUUCACUGAUUAGGCUUUCACUGAUUAUAUUACUACAGUUACUCCACCGAUCACCGUUCCUCAAAUCCUUGCUGGGCCUUUCUGUUUCAUUUGCUUAGCCUUUCCUCAGAGAAUCUAACAGGAAAUUUGCUUUUAAAGGAAGCAAACGUAGAACUGAAAAAGAACUGAAAAUAAAAAUACAAACCCCAAAUGUUCAGGUUUUCCUUUUGCCAACCUACUCUCUAUCUAUUUAAGCAAGACAUUACUCAGUUUGGGAACUGAAAUAAUAAUGUACUUCUGGCUUUUUAUUCAGACCAGCAGAAGGCUAGGCUAACAAUCCCUUGUUGAAGAAACGGAAACUGAAGAGCCAUACUCAGCAAAUGCUUUGGAAGUUUUUAUUCUGUUGGACUCUUCUUGAUAUGAACAUUGCUGAAAUUGUAGCUACAAGUCAUUCUGGUAAAGCCAU